rnacentral:rRNA from 1 species
UACGGGGGGGGCAAGCGUUGUUCGGAAUUACUGGGCGUAAAGGGCUCGUAGGCGGCCAACUAAGUCAGACGUGAAAUCCCUCGGCUUAACCGGGGAACUGCGUCUGAUACUGGAUGGCUUGAGUUUGGGAGAGGGAUGCGGAAUUCCAGGUGUAGCGGUGAAAUGCGUAGAUAUCUGGAGGAACACCGGUGGCGAAAGCGGCUCACUGGGUCUUUUCUGACGCUGAGGCACGAAAGCUAGGGGAGCGAACGGG